ACCAGUGUUGCAUGGCUGUCGUCAGCUCGUGUCGUGAGAUGUUGGGUUAAGUCCCGCAACGAGCGCAACCCUCAUCCUUAGUUGCCAUCAGGUAAUGCUGAGUACUUUAAGGAAACUGCCAGUGAUAAGCUGGAGGAAGGUGGGGAUGAUGUCAAGUCAUCAUGGCCUUUAUGGAGUGGGCUACACACGUGCUACAAUGGUGUCUACAAUGGGCUGC
rnacentral:rRNA from 1 species